GGAAUAUUGGGCAAUGCCCGCAAGGGUGACCCAGCAACGCCGCGUGGAGGAUGAAUGUCGUAAGAUUGUAAACUCCUGUUAGAGGGGAAGAAUAGUACCGGUUGGACCGGUAUAUGACUGUACCCUCAGAGAAAGCCCCGGCUAACUACGUGCCAGCAGCCGCGGUAAUACGUAGGGGGCAAGCGUUGUCCGGAUUUACUGGGUGUAAAGGGAGCGCAGGCGGGAUAAAAAGUCAGUGGUGAAAUCCUACAGCUUAACUGUAGAACUGCCUUUGAUCCUUUUAUUCUUGAGUUCGGGAGAGAGAGACUGAAUUCCAGGUGUAGUGGUGAAAUACGUAGAUAUCUGGAAGAACACCAGUUGCGAAGGCGGUCUCUUGGUCCGACACUGACGCUGAGGCGCGA
rnacentral:rRNA from 1 species